GAGCACGUAGGUGGGUUUGUAAGUCAGAUGUGAAAGCCUUCUGUUCAACGGAAGAAUUGCAUCUGAAACUGCAAGUCUUGAGUGUAGGAGGGGAGAAUGGAACUUCUGGUGGAGCGGUGAAAUGCGUAGAUAUCAGAAGGAACGCCGGCGGCGAAAGCGAUUCUCUGGCCUAUUACUGACACUCAGUGUGCGAAAGCUAGGGGAGCAAACGGGAUUAGAUACCCCGGUAGUCCUAGCCGUAAACGAUGGGCACUAAGUAGAGGGAAUUACCGAUGUUCUCUCUGCCGUAGCUAACGCAUUAAGUGCCCCGCCUGGGGAGUACGGCCGCAAGGCUAAAACUCAAAAGAAUUGACGGGGGCUCGCACAAGCGGUGGAGCAUGUGGCUUAAUUCGAUGCAACGCGAAGAACCUUACCGGGGCUUGACAUGGUAGAAGUAGGAACCCGAAAGGGUAACGAACGGUAUCCAGUCCGUAACUAUCACAGGUGUUGCAUGGCUGUCGUCAGCUCGUGUCGUGAGACGUUGGGUUAAGUCCCCUAACGAGCGAAACCCUUGUUUUUAGUUACCAGCGGGUUGUGCCGGGUACUCUAGAAAGACUGCCGUCGUCAAGACGGAGGAAGGUGGGGAUGACGUCAAGUCAUCAUGGCCCUUAUGCCCCGGGCUGCACACGUGCUACAAUGGUCGGUACAAACGGAAGCGAAGCCGAGAGGUGAAGCGAAUCC
rnacentral:rRNA from 1 species